GUGUAGUUGUCCCGGAGCUGCUCUGUCCUGCUGCCCAGCCUGGGUGUAGGUGUAAAAGGCCGAGUCCUAGGCCCCUGUAAUUUGAAAUUUGUCAUGUAGGGCGUAGUUGGAGUCUAGAGGAUGUUCCUCGAUGGACACAAGAUGUCAGGAGCUGUGAAGUUACCCUGCAGCACUUUGACUUUUGUCUCAGCUUUCUUUCAGAUGCACACGGAUGAAAUCAGUGGCAGAGCGCCCCAUCCAGGGUAAGGGGGUUCCCCUGAGAAGGAAGUGAAGCCGGCUAUCAGCAGUCAAGGCAAAGCGGGCAAGGCGGUCCAGUCGCGUUUCGCUGAGACGUCCUCGCCAACCGGCUGGCACAGCUGCUUUACCACUCCUGUGAGCCCUGCGGAAGCAUUAUGGGACCGUGUGACGGAGCCUUUUCCAC